rnacentral:lncRNA from 1 species
CACAGCUGGGCUGAGCCCUGUCCACCAUCCGGCUCCCUCAUGUCAAGUACAUCCAUAUCUGUCCCCUUGUGCCUAGGAUCCCUGUGACACUGAACAUGAAGACGGUGAUGCCCUCCUAGUUUGACCCAAUGGGGCUGAGUCCAGGUGCCUCAGAGGACGAGGCUGGCAUCAAGAAGGCAGUAGAGAACUUAAGAAGGACUUGAUUGAGCACUAGAUGAAGAAUGUGGUCCCUGCCAAUCAAAUUGUCCUGGGUAGCUUUUCACAGGGUGGGGCUCUGCCCCUCCACCCAGCCCUCUGGCUGGCAUUGUGGCUUUGAGCUUCUGGCUGCCUCUGCUCUGGGCCUUCCCCCAGGCAGUCAACAGCAGUGCCAAGGACCUGACGAUUCUUUAGUGCCAUGGUAAGCUGAUCCCCAUGCUGCCCAUAUAGUUUGGGGCCCUGAUGGCCGAGAAGCUCCGUUCUGUUGUCAUACCUGCUGGGGUCCAGCUCGAGACAUAUCCCGGUGUCAUGCACAGCUCUUGUCCUUAGGACAUGGCAGCUGUGAAGGAAUUUCUUGAGAAGCUGCUGUCUCCUAUCUAA